rnacentral:SRP_RNA from 1 species
CGUCAGGGGCUAUGGAUCGAGGACUUACGAACCCCGCCAGGGCAGGAAUGCAGCAACGGUAGUUUGAUCCUCCUUGCCGUAGUUCCCUGGCGGAC